rnacentral:rRNA from 1 species
AGUGAACGCUGGCGGUAGGCCUAACACAUGCAAGUCGAACGGCAGCACAGUAAGAGCUUGCUCUUACGGGUGGCGAGUGGCGGACGGGUGAGGAAUACAUCGGAAUCUACUUUUUCGUGGGGGAUAACGUAGGGAAACUUACGCUAAUACCGCAUACGACCUACGGGUGAAAGCAGGGGAUCUUCGGACCUUGCGCGAUUGAAUGAGCCGAUGUCGGAUUGGCUAGUUGGCGGGGUAAAGGCCCACCAAGGCGACGAUCCGUAGCUGGUCUGAGAGGAUGAUCGGCCACACUGGAAGUGAGACACGGUCCAGACUCCUACGGGAGGCAGCAGUGGGGAAUAUUGGACAAUGGGCGCAAGCCUGAUCCAGCCAUACCGCGUGGGUGAAGAAGGCCUUCGGGUUGUAAAGCCCUUUUGUUGGGAAAGAAAAGCAGCAGGUUAAUACCCCGCUGUUCUGACGGUACCCAAAGAAGAAGCACCGGCUAACUUCGUG